rnacentral:tRNA from 1 species
GUCUCUGUAGUUGAAAUUUAGACAACGGUGGUUUUUCAGGCCAUAGUUCUUGGAAAAAAGCCAAGCGGAGACC